rnacentral:RNase_MRP_RNA from 1 species
GCGAGACUAGGUUAGUUGUUCCUCCGUAUCCACUUGUGCGGGGCGUUUUGCAGACGUCGAGGCCCGUCCCUGCGCAUGGUUUGUGAGAACUUU